rnacentral:rRNA from 1 species
GACGAACGCUGGCGGCGUGCUUAACACAUGCAAGUCGAACGGAAAGGCCCUGCUUUUGUGGGGUGCUCGAGUGGCGAACGGGUGAGUAACACGUGAGUAACCUGCCCUUGACUUUGGGAUAACUUCAGGAAACUGGGGCUAAUACCGGAUAGGAGCUCCUGCUGCAUGGUGGGGGUUGGAAAGCUUCGGCGGUUGGGGAUGUACUUGCGGCUUUUCAGCUUGUUGGUGGGUUUGUGGCUUACCAAGGCUUUGACGGGUAGCCGGCCUGAGAGGGUGACCGGCCACGUUGGGACUGAGAUACGGCCCAGACUCCUACGGGAGGCAGCAGUGGGGAAUAUUGCACUAUGGGCGGAAGCCUGAUGCAGCAACGCCGCGUGCGGGAUGACGGCCUUCGGUUUGUAAACCGCUUUCGCCUGUAACGAAGCGUGAGUGACGGUAAUGGGUAAAGAAGCACCGGCUAACUACGUU